rnacentral:rRNA from 1 species
UAUUCAAAACCUAGGGGCCCAACGCCGCGCAGGCCCUAGAGUUUGAUCUUGGCUCAGGAUGAACGCUGGCGGCGUGCCUAAUACAUGCAAGUCGAGCGAACAGAUGAGAAGCUUGCUUCUUUGAUGUUAGCGGCGGACGGGUGAGUAACACGUGGGUAACCUACCUAUAAGACUGGGAUAACUCCGGGAAACCGGGGCUAAUACCGGAUAAUAUUUUGAACCGCAUGGUUCAAUAGUGAAAGACGGUUUCGGCUGUCACUUAUAGAUGGACCCGCGCCGUAUUAGCUAGUUGGUAAGGUAAUGGCUUACCAAGGCGACGAUACGUAGCCGACCUGAGAGGGUGAUCGGCCACACUGGAACUGAGACACGGUCCAGACUCCUACGGGAGGCAGCAGUAGGGAAUCUUCCGCAAUGGGCGAAAGCCUGACGGAGCAACGCCGCGUGAGUGAUGAAGGUCUUCGGAUCGUAAAACUCUGUUGUUAGGGAAGAACAAAUUUGUUAGUAACUGAACAAGUCUUGACGGUACCUAACCAGAAAGCCACGGCUAACUACGUGCCAGCAGCCGCGGUAAUACGUAGGUGGCAAGCGUUAUCCGGAAUUAUUGGGCGUAAAGCGCGCGUAGGCGGUUUCUUAAGUCUGAUGUGAAAGCCCACGGCUCAACCGUGGAGGGUCAUUGGAAACUGGGAAACUUGAGUGCAGAAGAGGAGAGUGGAAUUCCAUGUGUAGCGGUGAAAUGCGCAGAGAUAUGGAGGAACACCAGUGGCGAAGGCGGCUCUCUGGUCUGUAACUGACGCUGAUGUGCGAAAGCGUGGGGAUCAAACAGGAUUAGAUACCCUGGUAGUCCACGCCGUAAACGAUGAGUGCUAAGUGUUAGGGGGUUUCCGCCCCUUAGUGCUGCAGCUAACGCAUUAAGCAUUC